CCAGGUUAAAAAUCAACGACAAAGAAAGCAACGACAACAAGAACAACAAGCCAGUGAAUCACAAGCUCAAACUCCCCUCAAGUCAGAGAGAAGAAGAAGAAGAGGGGUCAGCUCUCACAAACAAAAGCAAAGCAAGUAAUCGAAACAGAGGAACAAGAAGAAGAAGACAUGGGUAUUCUUCAUGACGACGUCGUAAUCAUCACAGAGCCAGAGAAAGAAGGCGACCCAACUGUGCUUACCAUAAAUUGCCCAGACAAAACAGGCUUGGGUUGUGACUUGUGUCGCAUCAUUCUCUUUUUUGGACUUAGCAUUGUCAGAGGAGAUGUAUCAACGGAUGGGAAGUGGUGCUUCUUAGUGUUUUGGGUGGUGGGGAACUCAGAAACAAGGUGGGGCUUGCUGAAGAAGAGGUUAAUGGAGACUUGUCCUUCUUUUUCUUCAGCUUCUGGGAUUUCCUUUUAUUGCCAUGAGUUGCAGCCCCCAAAGCCUCCAGAUGUAUUUCUUCUCAAGUUCUGUUGUUAUGAUCGGCAAGGGAUUUUACAUGAUGUGACUGAGGUUCUAUGUGAGCUUGAGCUAACCAUAAAGAAAGUCAAGGUAUCCACCACUCCAGAUGGAAAAGUGAUGGAUCUGUUUUUCGUCACAGACACCAGGGAACUUCUGCAUACAAAUAAGAGAAAGGACGAGGUAUCUGACCACUUAAAAGCUGCUACAGGCAAUGCCAUGAUAAGUUGUGAUAUUGAAAUGGUCCGUUCUGAGAUUACUGCAUGCUCUCAAUCGCCUUCAUUUCUCCCGUCCCUUCUUAUGGAAGACAUGUUUCAUUUGAAAAUGCCUGAUGAACUCCCAAGUGGAUUACUCACCUCUAGCUGUGUUUCCGUGAAUAUGGACAACUCGCUCAGUCCUGGCCACACACUCGUCCAAAUCAUGUGCAAAGAUCACAAAGGCCUCCUUUAUGAUAUAAUGAGAACUCUAAAGGAUUAUAAUAUUCAGAUCUCUUAUGGGCGCUUCUCUAUGAAACAAAGAACCUGUGAGAUUGACUUGUUCAUCAUGCAAGCUGAUGGUAAGAAGAUACUUGAUCCAAGCAAGCAGAAUGCUUUGAAAUCUCGGUUACAGAUAGAACUACUCCGUCCUCUCAGAGUAGCUGUUGUUAGCAAAGGUCCUGAUACAGAGCUGCUGGUUGCUAAUCCCGUGGAAUUAUCUGGGAAGGGUCGGCCUCUUGUUUUUUAUGAUAUAACCCUUGCUCUCAAGCUGCUGAACACUGGCAUAUUUUCGGCCAAGAUUGGAAGGCAUUUAGUUAAAGAUCGGGAAUGGGAAGUUUAUCGAGUCUUGCUUGAUGAAGGAGAUGACUUGCCAGUUCCAAGGAAUAAGAUUGAGGAACGAGUUUGGAAGAUGUUGAUGGGUUGGGAGUGAUACCAAAUUCUGUUGCCAUUGUUCUUGGAUCGCUGCAUGCUACUGUACAGCUAUAUCACUACCUGCAAUCUCUGGAAUGUAUAUUGUUAAAAGGCCAAAGCAGUUGCAUAGUUUGACGUUUACAACUUCUGUAUAGUAUGAAUGAGAAGAUAUCAGUAAUGGGGACAUGGAAAAGAAGAGUUCAAGUACAGUUAUGAUGGCACUUGCAUAUUGUUGUACAAAGGUCAAAAGUUCUCCCACUUUCACGAGUGCACAUAAAAUUUGAGCUUCAAUGGAGUUCACUGCAACUUGAGCACUACGUGACACUCAAUGGAAACCCAGGCUUGAAGGAGGCGAAGACAAGAUCAAAUUGAACUGUGGCCCUUUUCUUCAAACAUAUUGGCUCUUUUAUGAUCUUUGAUUCCAGAAACUACGCCCCAGAAUGUAAUUUCAGCAAAUAUGACAUAUAAGAGGGUUCCCAGCCUCUCUGAGUGCCAUACAUUGUUAAAGACAUGCUCCUGGAUCCAGUUCACCUGUUUCAGUGGUGUUUUGUUCCAAGAUUCAUUAGAUU